UACGGAGGGUGCAAGCGUUAUCCGGAUUCACUGGGUUUAAAGGGUGCGUAGGUGGGCUGGUAAGUCAGUGGUGAAAUCUCCGGGCUUAACCCGGAAACUGCCAUUGAUACUACAAGUCUUGAAUGUCGUGGAGGUGAGCGGAAUAUGUCAUGUAGCGGUGAAAUGCUUAGAUAUGACAUAGAACACCAAUUGCGAAGGCAGCUCACUACACGGAUAUUGACACUGAGGCACGAAAGCGUGGGGAUCAAACAGG
rnacentral:rRNA from 1 species